CCUACGGGGGGCAGCAGUGGGGGAUAUUGCACAAUGGGGGGAACCCUGAUGCAGCGACGCCGCGUGGGUGAAGAAGCGCCUAGGCGCGUAAAGCCCUGUCAGCAGGGAAGAAAAUGACGGUACCUGAAGAAGAAGCCCCGGCUAACUACGUGCCAGCAGACGCGGUAAUACGUAGGGGGCAAGCGUUAUCCGGAUUUACUGGGUGUAAAGGGGGCGCAGACGGCUAGGCAAGCCAGGAGUGAAAGUCUGGGGCUCAACCCCGAGACUGCUCUUGGUACUGGGUGGCUGGAGUGCAGGAGGGGCAGGCGGAAUGCCUGGUGUAGCGGUGAAAUGCGGAGAUAUCAGGAGGAACACCGGUGGCGAAGGCGGCCUGCUGGACUGCAACUGACGUUGAGGCCCGAAAGCGUGGGGAGCAAACAGGAUUAGAUACCCGUGUAGUC
rnacentral:rRNA from 1 species